rnacentral:rRNA from 1 species
GACAGAGGGGGCAAGCGUUGCUCGGAAUUACUGGGCGUAAAGGGCGCGUAGGCGGGAUGGCAAGUCGGUCGUGAAAUCCCUCGGCUCAACCGAGGAACGUCGAUCGAUACUGCUGUUCUUGAGGAUUGCAGAGGAGACUGGAAUUCCCGGUGUAGCGGUGAAAUGUGUAGAGAUCGGGAGGACCACCGGUGGCGAAGGCGGGUCUCUGGGCAAUUCCUGACGCUGAGGCGCGAAAGCGUGGGGAGCAAACGGG